rnacentral:rRNA from 1 species
CAGUCGCCGCGGUAAUACGAAGGGGGCUAGCGUUACUCGGAAUUACUGGGCGCAAAGGGCGCGUAGGCGGCACGAUUAGUCAGGCGUGAAAUUCCUGGGCUCAACCUGGGGACUGCGCUUGAUACGGUCGAGCUAGAGGAUGGAAGAGGGUUGUGGAAUUCCCAGUGUAGAGGUGAAAUUCGUAGAUAUUGGGAAGAACACCGGUGGCGAAGGCGGCAACCUGGUCCAUUACUGACGCUGAGGCGCGACAGCGUGGGGAGCAAACAGGAUUAGAUACCCGGGUAGUCCCUGUCUCUUAUAA